AUGCAUUAGGUCAAGCAGUGGGAGAGCGAUGUGUACAUCCCAGAAGACGUAAAUGGCAGCAAAUCUACUGGAGCAGUCCCGGGGAUAUGGCCAGGCAGCCCAGAAGACAUGGAGAUGUGUUGAGGGGACCGAGGGCUUUGAGUGGAGCCGGAUGCUCGUGAGAUGAAUGGACAGUUGUAUUGUUUGUGCAUGUGCGAAGGGAGGAGCUGAGUUCCAGGGCCAAUGAGAAGCGAGCGAGGAUUGUGGGAAGGAGCCGUCCUAUUGGUCAGGAUCGUCCGUGCAGCUGCUGCGUAAUCAGGAGAGCAGUACUUAAGAGGCAUUAGUGCUGGAGCGGCAGCGAAAGCGGCAGCCCUGCGGUGGCAGCCGAGCGGUGUUCAUCCCUUGCGGUGUGAAGACCGGCGGGGUAAAGACAAGGCGCGACUCUGCGCGACUCUAACUGCGCGACUCCAACGAGCAGAGGACAACGGCAGAGGUACGGGGCUCUCUUCUUAUUCUUCUCAUCUCUCUCUUACAACUGCUUUGCUUGUCUUUUCCAACACCCACACUGCCUGGCAGGACUCCUCCAGUUCACCUGUGGCUUCGUCAAGACUACAGCUCUCUUCUAAACCACUAUCUCUUCUUCCCCUAGCUACCUGUGAGUCCUACCUGACUGCCAAUAAAAUGCUGCCAAAUCAAAUGCUCUCCAGUUGAUUCAACCAUGCCACUGUUUGUAUUCCUUCUCACUUGCACCACCAUUUUCCUCCAACAGGUCAACUGCUCCCCUCCAUUGUAGCCUCUGUCACUUGCACUUCACCUGAGUCGCCACACAACCACAACUACUGACAAACUGCUGCAUCUUGCACUGCUAUCACUACACCAGUAGAGUGAUCCCAACUCUGUCCUCCAGGGCCAGAAUCCUACACAUUUUACCUCCAACACACCUGCAAUGAUGUUCCUACACUGCCUAACAGUUUGCUUAGCUAGGCCAGCUAUGUCGGAUCCGGGUUGGAACUAAAGUUUGCAGGACACUGGCCCUCCAGGACCAACUCUGCACAUGCCUGCACUACACCAACACAACCUCAAGCACACAAUGAACUCUAAACAAAUCAAGCCAACCGCAUAAUGGCACAACACUAACACAACACUGUAAUAACACAUCAACAAACUACUUCAGCCACACUGCAGCUACACAGCAUGGCACAGCACAAAACACAAAAGUCACAACAGAUAAACAACAAACACACCUGCCAAAGGCCUAAUGACUGAGGAAGGGGAGGGGGUGUGGCCACACAGACAGGCAAUCAGUCAGACAAACACAAACAAAGACAGCAACACUAACACAAACUCAUACUACUGCUGCAACAACACAACAGGGGGACGACACAUUCUACACAUGCCAUUUUCAAAACAAUCACCUGCUGUACCUCCCACAUAUCUUUCACACUUCACAACUAUCUACUACACCACAUAUACACAUUUCACAAUUCGCAUAUCAUCACCCUUCACUGUAUAAACCACUUGCAUGUGCUCAUAUCAUUGGCCCAUCACUAUUUCCAGCUUCUUCUCAAACUACUUCAGAAACACAUUGAGCCAAUUUAAUCAACACUUUACAUUAAAUCAGCUAUCAAAACUUUCUUUCUGAAUCGCUGGACCUUUCAGCGUUCUCAGAAGCCAUGAAAAUGACUAAUGUCAAACACCAAAUACAUUACAGCCACGUCACUCUUUACAUAACACUAAAUCAACUGACAACAGCUGCCUUACUUGCCUAAACUCCACCCAUUUACAUGCUGCUAAUAACCAACUACACUUACAACACCUGCUCCACACUACUACUACUACUACUACUACUACUACUACUACUACUACUACUACUCAUACACAGCACAGGCCACAAGGACCAGUUAGGAACAAAACAAAAAAUUCAUCUUUGCAAAUACUACCACCCCAGUAACACCUUUUGUUGCCAGUCUAUAGCUUCCUUUCUGUCUAUCAACCACUAACUAUAUCAAUAGCAAGUGACACUGAGCAGAUAAAAGCUGCACAUGUCAUUCAACUCUGUCAUUUGCAUUUCCCAUCUCUUGCUGUCAACUCUCUACAACAAAUCCAAACAGCUGUCACUAUCACUAAAGCAAGCCAUCACUAGGCUCAAGAAACAAAACAAACCCAUCAAACGGUGAGCAAACACAUUAGGAACGGCCAAAACAACAGUUUGGAUCAUUCUAACAACCAAACAACACACCAGGGGCCUAAACAACACCAAAACACCUCAAACACCACUAAAACAAAUGUAGUGGACAACCAAACUAUUACUUCCCUGCUCAAAACACUCUCCAGGAGGUGUAUGUGUGCAGCUCAACAAUCAAGACAACACUACACCACAGCUUCUGCAGAGGGUUCACCACAUUUUCACAACCACUACUGAGCCUACCAAUAAUGAAGGCUGAAUUACUCAGCUAAAAAAGCCUUUACAACUGUGGAACAACACCCUAUGGACAGAUCACACCAACAUCAACUUUUACCAAACUGAUCAACACACUACAUUAUACACAAGGAAAGCAACUGCUCAUCAUCCUAGGCAUGGUGAUGCUAUUGUCAUGGCAUGACCAGUACAACUGCUUCUCUUGUAUGUUACAUGAUGUGACUGCUGACCAAUUCUGAACUCUUCUUCCCAACAUUACCUUCUCACAUUCAGCCAAAUGCUUUGGAACUCAUUGUACAGCACUUCACAGAGCAGACAGACAGUGACCCAAAGCAUACUGCUCAAGCAACCCAACACUUUGAAGGGAAAAAAACUGGAGGGAAAACACCACAACAACAAGCAGGAACUGAACACCAUUGCAGUACAGACCUGGCAAAGCAUCACCAUUGAUGAAACCCAGCAUCUAGUAAUGUCCAUGUGUUCCACACUUCAGCAUCUAAAGGCUGAUUUACACUUCAGCGUAAAGCGUACACAUAUGCUCUGGCACAGCAUACAUGCAGACACAUAGCCCCUUGCCAUCAGUGUUCAGACACACACCUCUCAAAGAAUGUAACGUGUAUGUGCUGCACAAGCUCUGUGAUUGCUCGGCUUGGUAGCACUGAUGAGUGUGGGUGGAGAUGACAGCUGCACAAGCAUGAUGCAAGAGGGGUUUACAAGUCUGGAGUCCCAUGAAGGACCUCCAGAUGGAGACUGCUGUUUGCUGUUUACCUUAUGAUUAAAGUUGUUGCACGUCCACCAGUUCCAGCCUCAAAAUGACAACCUUUCAGCCACUUCUACAUUAAGGAAGCGUUCUGAAAAAACUAAACACCAGCAAAGGAACUCCACACAGAGAAACAUAAACACCUACAGCCAGCUAGCAUUUCACAAGUGCUGUUGCAGAGCAACACAAACAGCACACACAAGUAUGCAUGCACGGCUACACACAAGGCUUGCACCAUGGCUCACGCCCAUCACUUGACGCAGAGGUAUAAACCAGCCUUCAUUUCCUGCAAAGGAUAUGCAACCAAAUAUUACAAAUUACUACUUUCACUUUCUAUUAUUAUUCUGUCCAAUUACUUUUGCUCCCCUAACAACUGACAAGCACAAAUGCAGAAAGGUGUAAUUACUAAAGUGUUGACCUGAUUUUUCAUGUAAAUAUCCUCUAAUUAAAGCUGACUGUCUGCAGUUAAAGCACUAAUUACCUGACUGUAUGUUCACUCCAGGAUACACUAACACUUAUACUUUCUUAUGUCUGUAUGACUAUUACAAAAGUUGCAUGUUUAAGAGCCUACAUUACAUGAUGACUUACUGUCAUCCCUCUUCACAAACUACUUCUCAGAAAAUGAGAAGUACAAGCAAACAGCCUUCAGUAUGAAAAGAUUGUCUGUCUGUCUCUGUCUGUCUGUCUGUCUGUCUGUCUGUCUGUCUGUCUGUCUGUCUGUCUGUCUGUCUGUCUGUCUGUCUGUCUACACUAUGACUUACAAACUGGCCUACAAAAAUGACAUAUGUGCAAAUGUUGAAGGUCAACUCAACUCACCCUCUCCUGCUCCUCCACCCUGCCCUCCAGGGCUGUGGGUGCACCUCAGCUGCUCUCCCAUCCAUGUCAGCGACAACAUCUACUUCCCUCUUCAUCACUGGGCACAAAACAAAACACUACAAAAACACUCACUAACAUUAAACAUACUCUCUUUCAAUCGUUUAAGUCCACAUUUCAAGUGUACAACAAAAACUAUGACGAAUUAUGCUAAAUAACUAUUUUUUCUACUUUCCAACCCGCUCUAUAAAAUCUCAAAAGUCAGCCUUUCUACUACUAGCCAGAAGAGCAAAGUCCACUAAAACAGCUCAAGCCUUCUCAUUUAUGGACCCUAAACUCUGGAAUAGCCAUCCUGAUAAUGUUCAAGCCUCAGACACACAACCUCACUUCAAAACUACAUUCAACACAAGUCUUCUUACUGAACAAUACACACAAUGGUAUGCAUUAUACACAAGUGUGCUGCAUGACUGGGGUUCACAGCCUCCUAUACGACACACUCCUCCUGUCUUAAUGCACCACACAUUCAGUUAAAAAUACUCUGAUGCUUUACUUCCUUCUUUCUGUUGUCUUUUUCACUGCUAUUUUCAUUUAUAAGACUCCAUUCUUGCACUGAUAAUUCAGGUCUAUUUUAAAUACACUAAACAGCAGCUACCAUAACUCUUUUCUUUCUUCUCUAUUUCCACCUGAGGAUGCAUUUAAAGAUUGUGCAGCACCACUGAUGUGAUCCAAAAGCUGUGAAGACAUGAUGCCAAACAUCAACCACCUCAACCACAACACAUACAAAGACGUCAUGCCAGCCAUCUAACACUUGCACAGAAGCCCAUCUCGACGCCUCUACAGACUGUGCAACACCAUUGAUAAGAUCCCAGACCUGUCAAGAGAUGAUGCCAACCAUGGAACCAUCCACACCUUCCUGGAGAAACACAAACCUGUGCUGCAACACUGACCACUGCAUGCACUGACAACUUCAACCAUCACCACAUCACAUUACAGUUCUUGCAUUUACUAACAUGAAGGACGAAAAGUACACUACAGUAUUUCUUCAUUUGUUAGUGCAAUAAAUAAUGUUAACAAGCAUGCAUUUGGAUGUUCAUAUUGUAAAUGUUCGUUAUUAAAUGUAAUACAAGUAUUGUUUAUAAUUACUUCAUGUUAGUAAAUACAAUAACUAAUGACACCUUAUUGUAAAGUAUGACAUCAUCACCAAGCAAUCAAAAAAAUACACCCUGUUUGUAUUGUCAGAAUAAAGAUUUUACAAUAAUAAAGAUUUGUUUUUGGGGUAAAUGAUCAUUACAAUUAUUACAAGUAUAAUAUGAAUACAUUAAUAAAUAUGAAGACAUCUAAAGUACA